AAGUAGUAUUUUCAAAAAAAACUAUAAUAUUAUGGCGGCACCUCAUCUACCUAGAGGAACUUGUUAUAUAAUCGAUAAACCCCGAUCAUUUUCACUUUAAUAAUAAAGUUUAUAUAUCGCCAUCUAAAGAGUUAGUUAAAUAACUUUACUCUAAAUAAAAAAUAAAAAGUUAGGUCAAGGUGUAACUCAUAUUAAAGAUAUAAAUGAGUUACUUUAAAUAUAAUUUAAGGAUUAAUUAAUAAAUUAAUUAUUGAAAAAGGAUUU
rnacentral:rRNA from 1 species